UUUUGUCACGUCUCUCUCUCUUUCUCUCUCGGGAGUUGAGCCGCAGCUCCUGCUGAUGUUUCUCCGGCCGUUCCCUGCAGCCGUGACCCCCUGACUGCGUUCUGCUGUCGCCAUGGAAACGUGGGAUCAGCGCAAAUUCCCGCUCGAGCGAACGCAUAUGCGCGCGCGCGCGCGUCCACGGCACGCACAGAUUGAGUCACAAACGCACACUGACUCACUCACACACUCACAAACCUACACAUGAGUCACACGCAAAUCAUCAUUUAUCCACUUUAACAUUAAACAAAUACACGUGUGUGCAAUAUUAUGAGGUGACGACACAAACAACACCAAACCUGACCAUCGUCUGCCUUCACAAGCCGAAAGUCAGGUAAAGAGACUGGACAGAGUUUGAUUAUGAAUAAAAUGAAUGACUGUCCAUUGCCGAACAAUGCAGGACCUUCAAGCUUCACCAUCAACCCUUUGUGUCUCAUGUUGUGGUGUUCACUUUCUGUAAAACCAAUAACUGGACUGCUAAAGAAACUUACAAGUGUGCAUCAUGGCUGUCUGGAUGAAGACCAAGCAAAUGUUUGAAGCAGAUUUGUUGAUGGAAUCUGAGAUCUUCUGCUAAGGCUGGACUGAGCGUAUGGACGUCAGAGAUCAGAUGUGAUUUAGGCCUGUGAUGGCCCAUGCCAGGCCAGUUGUGAUCGGCGAUACACCCUGCCUGUGUGAUUUUGGUUUCACUAGAACAAGAGUUUAGGUCUCCUGUGUUCCAGUCUGGGGUCCUCAGCUCUUUCUCUGAGUGACAGGCAGGUACAGAACGAAUCUGACAAACUUUUUCAUAUUUUAUGCACUGAUUUUAGGGGUCCUGCAUUCUGCAUACUCAUUGGUUGCUGCUUUAUCAAUAAUUGAAAAUAUUUAUGUAUGUAUAUGUGCAGGGGCGUUGCACAAGAUCCCGGGCCCCCAAACUAAUUAAAUUUUUUGAAGAGAAUGUAAAUGGUGCUCACCUGUGCAAAAGUUGCUUACUUGCCAUGCUUGUUCACAUCAUGAGAAUUCCUGAAUUUGAAUUGAGGCAAACAGGAUGCUAGAAACUUUCAAAAGAAAAACAAAGUUUUUCAAAUUAAAAGUUUUGAAUUUCAAAAAGCCCUGAGGUUUGAAUGUUAGUUAGAUAUCUAGAUUGAUAAGUAGGUGGACAGAUGGAUAGAUAGAUGCUUGGAAUGCCACCUAUAGAAAUUUAGCAUUAAUUAUAAUUAAUAUAUUAAUCAGAGUAAAAGAACACUUCAUUUUCAAAAAUGUGAUAUCUGUGUUGAAUUUCUUUGCAUUGCUGUUCAGUAAAUUCCUCUUCCUGUCAUUCUAGUUCAAAUUCCUGUGGGGUGUGGCCAAUUUAAUUCAAAUUCAAGUCCAACUCAUUAAUUAAAAUGGAGCCAAUUCUUCAGUUCUGAAUCUUGCACAACCCUGUUACUGGCUCAUAUCAGAAGAGUCCACAUGGAGUUCUCUAGAUAUGACUCGGGUGACAGUGAUGCUUGCCUUUGCAAGAGCUGCUAAUUGCAUUAUUUCAUAACCUGGACCAAGCACUGUAAUAUCUAUUCAGCUCAGCCAGUUAUAGUGAGUGAUAAUGGAUGUGUUAAUAACCAAAUAAACCUUCAACCGUCUUUCUCUCUCACACACAUCAGGAGUGUGUGGUAAUUAAAUAGAUAAGUCUGCAUGUCAGAUUUGCUUCUUGUCCCUCUUGAUGCUAACCAGUGCUGACUAGCUCAUUAUUGGACAGCCAUAAUCGUGUCCCGCCAUCAGGUCGGCACUGGGAGUCACAUGAACAUUAUUUUUAUUUCUGGUUCCCGUUUGGUUUUCUGUUAUUCUUGUCAAUUUUCCGCAUGACAGGUGGAAUCUGACAUCUUUAUGCGCUCUGUGUUUUGUGACAUGACGACAGCAUGUCGCAAUACUGUGUAAAUGUCACAAUGUGCAAACCUACAUGCUUUCUCUCUUACAUGCACACAUGGGCAUUGAAUAUGUAAGAAUGUCUGUGGCAGAGAUCAGAUGGGGUGGUUUCUGGAAUCCACAUUAAGUUGUUGAUUAAUAUCAUUCUUCAAAAUAUAAAAUAAUUUUAGGGACUUCCCCAUGUGAGACUUAAAUAGUAUAGAGUUACAUGUCUUCUCACUGGAAUGUGAUCUCUUCUCAGUUUGAGAAAAAAUCUCACAACACUUUAAAACAUACAUCUACUCUUCUGUCUUAGGUCACAAAGGUCAUUAGGGCCUCUCAUCUACAUAAACAAUAUAUAAUUAAAGCAUUUACUUUAUUUUUUCAUCUUUACACAUUAGAAAAUAAUGAGGAAUAUUGUCUGAAGCCUCUAGCUGAGAAAAAAAUUGAUAUUUGGGGAAGUUCCUGAUUAGACAUUGGGUUUGAACAACCCAGCCUUGAAGAAGUUGCGUAUUCUCUAUGUGUGUGUGUGUGUGUGUUAGUAUCUGUCUGUGCAGGACCAGUAUUCAGGGAGAUUAUUGACGGCACCCAGGGUGGAAUACGCACAUGGACAUCUUCCGUCACCCUGAUGCAUUGGUUGCAGAUAUAUAUCUCUCGAGCAACACGUUGUGUGUGAACUCUAAUCGUUUGUCACCUAAAUAACCUUUGGAGAUAUGCUUUGAACCUUUUGUACAUCUGUUUUUCUACGAUUUAACAAUCAGAAUUCUUUUAACUAAGUAAUUACAUAGUUAGUGACCUUUGUUAGAGUAUAAUUAAUUAAUGCUGUAUUGAGUGUGUAUGCAAAGCGGCAUACGAACUCGUUGCGAGUACUGAAACUGACUUCUGCUGAUGAAAAUUCCCCUACAAUAUGGUCGGUAAGAUUUUUUAUUUUAUUUUAUUUUUUUAUGUUUUUGAAAGAAGUCUCUUAUGCUCAUCAAGGCUGCAUUUAUUUGACCAAAACAGACAAAUAUAUUGUGAAAUAUUAUUACAAUUUAAAACUAGAAGAGUAAAGUUCAAGAACAAACUUUGAAGUUGGCUUGAAAAAUCCUUGACUGAAAGUUUGAAGCAUUUGUAAAAGCUUGAAGUGUGAAAGUUUCUAGCUUGUUUAGAUACCAUGUUUUUAGCAAGAAUAAUAUGUUUCUAACAUGAUUAGCAUGUUUAAAACAUGAUCACCAUGUUGCUAUCAUGCUUAAGCAUGUUUCUAGCUUGUUUUAACAUGAUUAACAUGUUUUUAGAAUGCUACCAUGAUGCUACCAUGACUAAUGUUUUUAA